GUGAAGCCUGUUCCUGUUUCAAUCACAGAUUUCUUCAGGUAGCCAACUUAUUGAGCUAGUUGUGUUCAGGAGUGUGAAGCACUGCUCCUGUAGUUUCAGCCUUUGACUUGGAAUCACCAAAGGAGCUAAAAUUAUCCCAUCGGGUGGUGCUGCCUGAUACAAAGUGAGCCGGCCGUUGCCAAAAAAGAAUCCAUUCAAAUGCAGCGAGAGUGAAAAUGAACCUUCAAAAAUUAAGUACUUGCUUAUACUUAGUGAAACAUUAGUUGUUAUUAGAUAGGCAUUUAAAAACCAGGACUGAUACUUGUUGGAAACUCCUUCUGUGGCAGCUGAGGAAUGUUUCUGGGGAUAUUCGCUUCACUGUCAAAGUCAAAGUCAAGUUCACUGUCGUAGCACAAGUCCAUGUGUGUACAGGUGCAAUGGAAAACUUACCUGCAGCAGCAUCUCAGGCACAGACCAUCAGAUACAACACGGACCAGGCCCUUUGAGCUGUGCUGCCCAAACAACUCCUGACAACCACCAAUUUAACCUUAGCCUAGUCACGGGUCAAUUUACAAUGACCGAUUAACCUACCAACCGGUACGCCUUCGGACUGUGGAAUGAAACGGGAGCGCCCGGAGAAAACCUACACUUUCCACAGGGAGAAUGUACGCCCUCCUUACUGGGAUUGAGCUCUGAACUCCGAAGCCCCAAGAUGUAAUUGCGCCACACUAACUACUAUGCUACCAUGACACCAAGAAGAGAGACUAUUCAAGAACGUGAUGGCUUGUUGAAUCCCCAUGGCCAUUUGGUGGGAAGGGCUCUUUUGAAGGCCCUGACCGGAGUGACACGCUGACUUUGAUUCUUUGUGGGAAUGGGACCCGCUCUCCGGGCCUCACGACCGGCCGCUUUUCGAUAUGCCAAGGACAUGGCCUGGAAGACUAGCGCGCCAUCAGUGUGCCAGAUUUCCGUGGCUCUGGAGGCAGGCGGGUUCGAAGUCGGUGCCGCCGAGGACACGGAAGAUCGAAAGCAGCAAGCUCGCUGCCGGCUGUGUGCCCAGAGACCCGAAAAAGCAACGCAACAGACUUUUAACACCAUAAAUCAGUGAGUUGUUUGUUAUGUCUCCCCUCCCAUUGUGAAAUGGAGACACCUCUUUUUCCUUUAUUAGGGAGAGAGAGCCUGUGGUGUGUCAAAUACCGGGUGAACGAAUAGUCCUUGGGGUACUGCAAGUCUGUGUUUUUAUUGAUGCUUUGCUGCACGCUUAAAUGCUUGGUGGAGGGUGCAGAUGCAUUCUUGCUGGUGGUGGG